rnacentral:lncRNA from 1 species
GGAAGAAUUAAAACCAAGAAUCUUAAUAAGAAGAUAUAAAGGAUCUCAAACGGGUUAUAUUAUUCACCCUAACAAUGGAUUUAGCUACGCAUAAUAAAAGAAGAACACAAACAAAUUGUCUUAGAAUAUAUCACCGGAUUUUUAAUAAGAGAAUGUAGAAGAAAAAGUGGAUCUUGCAUCAAGAGUUACUCCUUCCAAUUUAUGCUUCACACAAUGAAUUUGGUGUUGUCUUUUUCCUUUAAAUCUCUCCCCCUUUAUUUCAAUAAAUGUUCUUGCCUCUUGAAUCGCUUCAAUUGGAUAUCGGGAGAGAAAGUUAUGCUAAAAAUACUAAAAGAGGUGCGUGCUGUCUGUUCGAAAAGUGGUGCCGCGACGCGACGUUGCAUUCUAGGCGCCGCAGCGCCGCAUCCCAGAUGCGUUAGGGCGCAACUUUGCUUCAGACAUAAUUCCCCGAUUCGAUCGUUUUCUAUGUCAAAAACAGGUCUUAAUGUGAGCCUGAAAUUUCGGAGCAUAGCUUUCGGUUGGAAAUUGAUUUGUGAUCAUAGAUCCCUUUGACAUCUUUCUUCAUCCAAUUGACUCCCAACGCUCUUGAAUCUUCAUUUUGAGGUUUGACAUAACUUUUGAAUAUUUGCACUUUAGUCCCCGAACUUUGGAUUUCAUACAAUUUAGCUCUUUUCUCCAAUUUUGCGUACUUUUGCUUCUUUCCUUCAAAUCCUUUUCCUUCAUAAAAUUUUACCUACUAAACAUAAAAUACAAACAUUUAAGAUAUAAUUUGUCGAAAGAACCAUCAAAUAUCGCUAUUUAAGGUACCAAAUAAAUGUAUAAAAUACAAUUAUCAAACACAUCAAUGAAGAUAUUAUGCUCGAUUGGAAAGCGUCUGAAGCUCUUAUAGAACCGUCACAUAAAACCUGCUUAUAAGUGCUUCACUUUAGGCUGUAUAAAACAAUCAUCCCUUGGAAGAAAAGUAAUGCAGUUGACAAAAGCAGAUUAUAACUAACCUCAGAAAAGUAAUACCAACUACUGACUUAUUGAUGAAAGAUAUCCAAGGCACAGAACAGAGGCUGCCACAAAUUCAAAAAAAUGUGUCAUUAU